ensembl:snRNA U6 U6 spliceosomal RNA
AUGCUCGCUUCAGCACAUAUACUAAACUUGGAAUGAUACAAAGAGGAUUAGGAUGGCCUCUGUGGAAGGAUGAUACACAAAUUCAUAAAAUUAAUUUCAUUAUG